AUUGAACGCUGGCGGCAUGCCUUACACAUGCAAGUCGAAUGGUAACAGGUCUUCGGAUGCUGACGAGUGGCGAACGGGUGAGUAAUACAUCGGAACGUGCCUAGUAGUGGGGGAUAACUACUCGAAAGAGUGGCUAAUACCGCAUGAGAUCUACGGAUGAAAGCAGGGGAUCGCAAGACCUUGUGCUACUAGAGCGGCCGAUGGCAGAUUAGGUAGUUGGUGGGAUAAGAGCUUACCAAGCCGACGAUCUGUAGCUGGUCUGAGAGGACGAUCAGCCACACUGGGACUGAGACACGGCCCAGACUCCUACGGGAGGCAGCAGUGGGGAAUUUUGGACAAUGGGCGCAAGCCUGAUCCAGCAAUGCCGCGUGCAGGAUGAAGGCCUUCGGGUUGUAAACUGCUUUUGUACGGAACGAAAAGCCCUGGGUUAAUACCCUGGGGUCAUGACGGUACCGUAAGAAUAAGCACCGGCUAACUACGUGCCAGCCGCCGCCGUAAGAC
rnacentral:rRNA from 1 species